GCGUUUCUUUCUCUAAAAAAAACAUGCGUUUCUCCUCCGGCCUCCUCUCUAGGUUCAUGUUGGUUUUGUAGCGAUUGCAAAUUUGUGUGAAAGCAUAUAUAUGUAUGCAAGCUUUUCUUUAUAUAAGUUGAAUCUUUCAUCUGUAGCAGGCAAUGUCUAUUAUGAAGAUUCAAAACCAAAAAAUGUUUGGUGCUGAGUUUUUGAGAGCUGUUUUUUGUGUGCCCCCUGUCCUGUGUGUUUUUUGCGAAUUUGCUUCUGGUUUGUAAGGCAGCAGGUUUAUUACUUACAACGAUGUCCAAUUUUUGGUGUGCUUUAUUCAUUUAGGGGCUGAGAAUGAGGAGACUGCCAUUGGAGUUAACACAAACUUUAAUUGUAAUAACUACAUCUUAAGUUGCAGCUACUUUCACUUAGGUUGAGCAUUAAAGGUUGCUUACCUCAGGAUUUUAAGUAGCUAUUUGACUGCAUUCUCUCUGAGCAAACAAUGGCUACAUGUCUCAUAUUUACAUGGUUUUUGGCUAUAGAGAUUCUAUAAAUUAACUAAAACUUGAAAUUAACUUGAGAAUUUUUUUGUUUCUUUCUUUGUUUGAAUUGAUUGAAAUUGAAAAGUGAUUAUUGUUAUUGAUUUUCUUUGAAUGGAUCAAGGAUUCCGUGGACGGAGGAAGAGCACAAGUUGUUUUCGGUUGGAUUGCAGAAAGUUGACAAAGGUGAUUGGAGAGGAAUCUCAAGGAACUAUGUGAAAACAAGAACGCCUUCGCAGGUUGCAAGUCAUGCUCAGAAGUACUUUCUCUGCCGAAGUAAUCGCAAUUGCUGUCGCCAUAGAUCCAGUCUCUUUGAUAUCACCACCGACAGGGUUUGUAUGGUGCAACCAAAAGCAGAAAUGGAUCUCCAAUUUCAGUCAACAAAUAUGAGCAAUACUUAAGUGCAGUUGCAUUUGCUGUUACUACUUUUGGAACGGUUGCUUUGAUGAGUGGAUUCUUCCUUAAACCUGUUGCUAUGUUGUGCCUCUAUUUGGUGGUUUCUUAUCUAUUCUUGGAGUUUCUGAGAUUCGCAUUUCAAGAUUGGUUGUGGGUUGUGGCUGGUGGGCAGAUUUGUAUUGCUUAGAAUUUAGCAGAACUGACAUUGAUGUAGCUUAAAUCUCGAUAUACACCUGACAAUGCAUAUGAAUUAUAUAAAAGCUGAAAACAGACUGAAUACAAAGGCAGUGUAUCAGUAUGUUUGUACACUAUGCACAAUUUUCAUGGUAAUAUGAAUUCGAUUCACUGUUGCUGUAUAAUUUGCUGCUGUGUAUCAAUCCUAACGAACUUCAACAUUUUUAUCCAAUUAAUUUCACUUUCAUUCCAAUUGAUAUGCGUUUCGGACAAAUAAUUGACGAGCAAACUCAUAUACAGAGAAUACGUUUUUUAAUAGACCAUGUGAAUUU